rnacentral:rRNA from 1 species
UACGUAGGUGGCAAGCGUUGUCCGGAUUUACUGGGCGUAAAGGGCUUGUAGGCGGUUUGUUAAGUCUGGUGUGAAAUCUCCCGGCUCAACCGGGAGGGGUCAUCGGAUACUGGCAGACUAGAGACGGGUAGAGGAAAGCAGAAUUCCCGGUGUAGUGGUGAAAUGCGUAGAUAUCGGGAGGAACACCAGUGGCGAAGGCGACUUUCUGGCCUGUUCUUGACGCUGAGGCGCGAAAGCUAGGGGAGCAAACGGG